rnacentral:rRNA from 1 species
CAGUAGCCGCGGUAAUACAGAGGGUGCGAGCGUUAAUCGGAUUUACUGGGCGUAAAGCGUGCGUAGGUGGUGGUUUAAGUCCGUUGUGAAAGCCCUGGGCUCAACCUGGGAAUUGCAGUGGAUACUGGGUCACUAGAGUGUGGUAGAGGAUAGUGGAAUUUCCGGUGUAGCAGUGAAAUGCGUAGAGAUCGGAAGGAACAUCUGUGGCGAAGGCGACUAUCUGGGCCAACACUGACACUGAGGCACUAAAGCGUGGGGAGCAAACAGGAUUAGAUACCCGUGUAGUCCCUGUCUCUUAUAC